rnacentral:rRNA from 1 species
UCUGGUUGAUCCUGCCAGUAGUCAUAUGCUUGUCUCAAAGAUUAAGCCAUGCAUGUCUAAGUACAAACCUUAAUACGGUGAAACCGCGAAUGGCUCAUUAAAUCAGCUAUGGUUCCUUAGAUCGUCUCAUCCUACUCGGAUAACUGUGGAAAAUCUAGAGCUAAUACGUGCUUACAAGCCCUGACCUCACGGGAGGGGCGCAUUUAUUAGAUCAAAACCAAUCGGGGCUUGCCCCGUCUGCUUGGUGACUCUGGAUAACUUUUGUGCUGAUCGCAUGGCCUCUGCGCUGGCGACGUAUCUUUCAAGUGUCUGCCCUAUCAACUUACGAUGGUAGGUGAUAUGCCUACCAUGGUUAUAACGGGUAACGGGGAAUCAGGGUUCGAUUCCGGAGAGGGAGCCUGAGAAACGGCUACCACAUCUAAGGAAGGCAGCAGGCGCGCAAAUUACCCACUCCCGGCACGGGGAGGUAGUGACGAAAAAUAACGAUACGGGACUCUUUUGAGGCCCCGUAAUUGGAAUGAGUACACUUUAAAUCCGUUAACAAGUAUCUAUUGGAGGGCAAGUCUGGUGCCAGCAGCCGCGGUAAUUCCAGCUCCAAUAGCGUAUAUUAAUGUUGCUGCAGUUAAAAAGCUCGUAGUUGGAUCUGAGGACUCGAAUUGGUGGUGCACCAUACGGUGUUACUGCCGAUUCGGCCUACCUAGUCGGUGCUCGCUCUUGGUGUUCUUAAUUGAAUGCCCUGAGUGCCCGGCAAGUUUACUUUGAAAAAAUUAGAGUGCUCAAAGCAGGCCAUUAGCCGGAAUACUUCAGCAUGGAAUAAUGGAAUAGGACUUCGGUUCUAUUUUGUUGGUUUUCGGAACCCGAGGUAAUGAUUAAGAGAGACAGACGGGGGCAUUCGUACUGCGGUGUUAGAGGUGAAAUUCUUGGAUCGCCGCAAGACGAACAACUGCGAAAGCAUUUGCCAAGAAUGUUUUCAUUAAUCAAGAACGAAAGUCAGAGGUUCGAAGACGAUCAGAUACCGUCCUAGUUCUGACCAUAAACGAUGCCAACUGGCGAUCCGAGAUCGUUUGCUUAUUGACCUCUCGGGCAGCCUCCGGGAAACCAAAGUUUUUAGGUUCCGGGGGAAGUAUGGUUGCAAAGCUGGAACUGUUCAAUUGCAACUCUGCCUGUGACACCAAGUGGUCGGGUUACUUGGUCUGUUCUGGCCCGGAGUCGGUAGGGUUUCCGGCCUUGUGCUCUUUCCUUACUGUUCUCUGUAACGCCGAAGGCGGGGCUUCCACGGUGGGGAAGCGGUUGUACAAAUCCGGCAAAUCCAGCCAAAUGGGUUCCGGACUCUGUCCAACCUGCAACUGGUAACAGCCUCGGCUGGCUAACAUUUGAGCUGGGACUCGCUUGGGAGGAGCGAGGAUAAUAUAAACCUCUAUGUGACUGAGGUGAGGAAUCUGGUUCUCGUAAAAUGGCUGGAGAUCCCGAGCCUGUAAGUCAUAAAUUAGUUCCCCACGAGGGGAGGUGUCGAAUUGAAGCCAGUGCGUGCCCUUACUAGUUUAAGGGAUUGUAUACUUCCUUUGGUGUACCCACCUGGAAGUGCCCAAGGGGUCCUAUCCCUGCACUCCAUCCCCGAUUGGAGUCAGGUGACGGCUCCUUA